ACCCACUCCUCACCCAGCAUCCAUAAAAGCAUGCUGCACCUUUGGCACAGCGCGACUUCCCUGGCCCUCCCCCUGCGGACCAGUGAACCUCGCCCGAGGGCUCAAUAAAGAAGAUUUUUGCCCUCUUUUUCUCACCUCUCAGCCUUAUUGAUCCAUGGUGCCCUUCCAUUGCCUUUCAUUGGUGCCGAAACCCGGGAGGGGACACCUCCUAAGCCCCCCCAGAGGCUCAGGGGGACUCCCCUCCUGGUCGGAUCAGUCCUCUCCCUCAGUCAGGUCAGGCUUCUCCUCCACGGCCAUCUGUCCAUUUCGUCCGGUUACUUGCUGCCAGGUCGCAGUUGCUGCAGCUACUCCAGUCCAAUUCGGCCGACGCUAGAUCAACUGAGAUGCAAAACCCAUGUUCACAUCAUGAGUGAGUCUUCUAACUCGGACAAUGCAAUCAACAAAUUCUAAGACCAAAUUCCGGUGGCACUGGCUCCAAAGGCCUUCCUCCUUCUCUCCCCUCUAUUUCAGCUCCUGAGUGUGGAAGGAGGUGAACAGGGAAAAGCAGAGAGGACAAAAGUCACAUCCCCUCCCCACAGACCCAUACUGGGGAAGGGUGGAAGAUUUAGCUGCGAGUCAAGUUCAGAAUUUUGAUUAACAUCUUGGCAUGCACAUUCGAAUUUCAGAAUCAAGACUGUUGGCCAUAAAAAAUGACUAUAGCCUUGUGUAUUACCUGAACUGAGCAGUAAAAAAAAAGUCAUGGUCCUUCUGGGGCUUUUAUUCUGAGACAGGAACCCUGAACAGGCAGGAGAAAGGGAAUGUUGACAGAGAAACAAAGACAGUUGGCGACACACGCUGACCGCCAUGCGGACGUCCAUCAAACCCAGCACUGGCCCUGGGUACGUGCGCCUUUGCUAUUACCCCAAUACAUUUUCUUCUGCAGAGCAAGCAACAGAACACAUGCAGACCUUAAUAAAUACCACUGGGUAAUGUGACAAUGGCCAAACUCUCCUCACGGGGGAGAGAGUGUCCCCCAGUUUUGCUCCCUUUUAAUUUCCAGGGUUCAUAAGUAGCUCUAAAGCUUUGCUCUACAAGGUUGAUACAUACGAUAUUAAUGUUUCCCCUAAGCAGUAUAACAUAAAUAUAUUUGCUAUCUUGA
rnacentral:lncRNA from 1 species